rnacentral:rRNA from 1 species
GACGAACGCUGGCGGCGUGCCUAAUACAUGCAAGUAGAACGCUGAAGAGAGGAGCUUGCUCUUCUUGGAUGAGUUGCGAACGGGUGAGUAACGCGUAGGUAACCUGCCUUGUAGCGGGGGAUAACUAUUGGAAACGAUAGCUAAUACCGCAUAACAAUGGAUGACACAUGUCAUUUAUUUGAAAGGGGCAAUUGCUCCACUACAAGAUGGACCUGCGUUGUAUUAGCUAGUAGGUGAGGUAACGGCUCACCUAGGCGACGAUACGUAGCCGACCUGAGAGGGUGAUCGGCCACACUGGGACUGAGACACGGCCCAGACUCCUACGGGAGGCAGCAGUAGGGAAUCUUCGGCAAUGGGGGCAACCCUGACCGAGCAACGCCGCGUGAGUGAAGAAGGUUUUCGGAUCGUAAAGCUCUGUUGUAAGUCAAGAACGAGUGUGAGAGUGGAAAGUUCACACUGUGACGGUAGCUUACCAGAAAGGGACGGCUAACUACGUGCCAGCAGCCGCGGUAAUACGUAGGUCCCGAGCGUUGUCCGGAUUUAUUGGGCGUAAAGCGAGCGCAGGCGGUUUGAUAAGUCUGAAGUUAAAGGCUGUGGCUCAACCAUAGUUCGCUUUGGAAACUGUCAAACUUGAGUGCAGAAGGGGAGAGUGGAAUUCCAUGUGUAGCGGUGAAAUGCGUAGAUAUAUGGAGGAGCACCGGUGGCGAAAGCGGCUCUCUGGUCUGUAACUGACGCUGAGGCUCGAAAGCGUGGGGAGCGAACAGG